GGAAGGGUACUCAAGUUGGUGAAGAGGUCAACCUGCUAAGUUGAUAGUACCUAUUGUAGGUAGCGAGGGUUCGAAUCCCUUUCCUUCCUU
rnacentral:tRNA from 1 species